rnacentral:lncRNA from 1 species
UAUGAAAAUAUGAUGAAAACUAACAUAAAUGUUUAUAAAUGUAUUUUUCUUUUUUCAUAAAUCUUGAAAAAAGAAUUUUAAAAACUGAAAAGGUUCAAUUCUAAUAUACAAAAAAGUGUCUCUUGCCAUCAUACUAUAUAUUUCAAUACAUUAUGCUAUAUCUUUUAAGAAGGAAUAUCCUUCAGCAUUUAGAGCCUUGCUUUUGAUUUGAAGAUGAUGGUUUGGAUUGUAUUGCUAGUCUUAAGAGAU